rnacentral:rRNA from 1 species
UAGGGAAUCUUCGGCAAUGGGGGGAACCCUGACCGAGCAACGCCGCGUGAGUGAAGAAGGUUCUCGGAUCGUAAAGCUCUGUUGUUAAGGAAGAACGAGCGUGAGAAUGGAAAGUUCAUGCUGUGACGGUACUUAACCAGAAAGGGACGGCUAACUACGUGCCAGCAGCCGCGGUAAUACGUAGGUCCCGAGCGUUGUCCGGAUUUAUUGGGCGUAAAGCGAGCGCAGGCGGUUAGAAAAGUCUGAAGUGAAAGGCAGUGGCUCAACCAUUGUAGGCUUUGGAAACUGUUUAACUGGAGUGCAGGAGGGGAGAGUGGAAUUCCAUGUGUAGCGGUGAAAUGCGUAGAUAUAUGGAGGAACACCGGUGGCGAAAGCGGCUCUCUGGGCUGUAACUGACGCUGAGGCUCGAAAGCGUGGGGAGCGAACAGG